AUGAAGAGGCUGCUGUGUUCUCUGCUGGGGCUUCUGUGCACCCAGGUUUGCUGGGUGAAAGGGCAACAAGUGGAGCAGAGACCUGCGACCUUGGCUCUGCAGGAAGGAGAGAAUGCAACACUGCAGUGCAACUUUUCCUCCACAGCAACCCAGUUGCAGUGGUUUUACCAAAGUCCUGGGGGACGCCUCAUCAGCCUGCUUUCCAAUCCUUCUGGAACAAAGCAGAGUGGAAGACUGACAUCCACGACAGUCACUAUGGAGCUUCGCAGCUCUUUGUACAUUUCCUCCUCCCAGACCACAGACUCAGGCACUUAUCUCUGUGCUAUCAUCCACA